GGAGAGCUCCAUCGAACUCUGCGGUUCGGGCUUCUCUGCCUACGAGCUCAGAGGGGAGUUCAGACAUGCUUGUGUCUGGAGGAAGUUCGAGAAUGUGGCCCAGCUUCACUCGAUUUUUUUUCAGCUGUGGGCUUGCUGGAGUCACCCACCUGCCGCUCCUUCGUGGCCUCCUCAUCCUUCAACUUGAAGGCUUCCUCUGCUUG
rnacentral:lncRNA from 1 species